CCCUUAGAUGUUCUGGGCCGCACGCGCGCUACACUGACGAUGGCAACGAGUUUUUCCUUCGCCGAAAGGUGUGGGUAAUCUUUUGAAACAUCGUCGUGCUGGGGAUAGAUCAUUGCAAUUUUUGAUCUUGAACGAGGAAUUCCUAGUAAGCGCGAGUCAUCAGCUCGCGCUGAUUACGUCCCUGCCCUUUGUACACACCGCCCGUCGCUACUACCGAUUGAAUGGUUUAGUGAGGACUCCUGAUUGGCGCCGCCGCCCCGGCAACGGAGCAGCGGACUGCCGAAAAGUUGUUCAAACUUGAUCAUUUAGAGGAAGUAAAAGUCGUAACA
rnacentral:rRNA from 1 species